AACCCUGACUCUGCUACCAGCUGCUGGACCCUGUGGGACUGCAAAGUCGUGUGAAAUCUGUCUUGGGAUUGAGCCAUUGUUAUUCCCCGUCGGCCACUGGUCAGAGUGCACCGAGAAGAAAUAUUUUCUGCCUCCACUGUGGUCUUUUAUAUGAUCAGGAGGGAGAGGUUUUUCAUGCCCUAUUGAACUGUGAUCUCCCUGUGGAACCAGCUAGAUACCCUGAGCCUCUCACCCCUCCUCCCAGCCCGAUGUAUCCCCUUCAUCCAGCGCCACAGCAGCCGGUCAGCUUGACACUGUCUUCUGACACAGAGAUGUUCCAUUUAAUAUUCCCACCAACAAUGUAUGAGAGUUCCAGUUGCUCCGCAUCCUAGCUUGCAUUUAGCGUUGUCAUCCUGACAAGUCGGUGUCACGACAAAGACAGACCUGGGGAUAUAUGCAGACAUUGGCACACACGGAUAAACCUAGGCAAGAGGAACAAAGGUGGAACAAGGUGGGAAAAAAAAAAUAAAAGAAAAAGGAAACAAGGAGAGCCAUGCGUUGAAGAGUGUGAAACCCAAGGUAACAUUGUGAAAUUAGUGAAGUUCAUUCAGCAACCCCCUUCUUAUUAGCACCACCCUAUAGGGCCUGUCCUCAAUUUAAUUUUCCGUGAGAGGUGGCAGAGGGAU